GGCCGGAUAGCUCAGUUGGUAGAGCAGGGGAUUGAAAAUCCCCGUGUCGGCGGUUCGAUUCCGUCUCCGGCCACCA
rnacentral:tRNA from 10 species